rnacentral:rRNA from 1 species
CCUACGGGGGGCAGCAGUGAGGAAUAUUGGUCAAUGGACGCGAGCCUGAACCAGCCAAGUAGCGUGAAGGAUGACUGCCCUAUGGGUUGUAAACUUCUUUUAUAUAGGAAUAAAGUGAGGUACGUGUCCCUUUUUGUAUGUACAUUAUGAAUAAGGAUCGGCUAACUCCGUGCCAGCAGCCGCGGUAAUACGGAGGUACCGAGCGUUAUCCGGAUUUCUUGGGUGUAAAGGGAGCGUAGAUGGUUUGUUAAGUCAGUUGUGAAAGUUUGCGGCUCAACCGUAAAAUUGCAUUUGAUACUGGCAGUCUUGAGUACAGUAGAGGUAGGCGGAAUUCGUGGUGUAGCGGUGAAAUGCUUAGAUAUCACGAAGAACUCCGAUUGCGAAGGCAGCUUACUAGACUGCAACUGACAUUGAGGCUCGAAAGUGUGGGUAUCAAACAGGAUUAGAUACCCGUGUAGUC